rnacentral:rRNA from 1 species
UACAGAGGUCUCAAGCGUUGUUCGGAUUCAUUGGGCGUAAAGGGUGCGUAGGCGGCGCGGUAAGUCGGGUGUGAAAUCUUGGAGCUUAACUCCGAAACUGCAUUCGAUACUGCCGUGCUUGAGGACUGGAGAGGAGACUGGAAUUUACGGUGUAGCGGUGAAAUGCGUAGAUAUCGUAAGGAAGACCAGUGGCGAAGGCGGGUCUCUGGACAGUUCCUGACGCUGAGGCUCGAAGGCCAGGGGAGCAAACGGG